rnacentral:rRNA from 1 species
UACGUAGGGCGCAAGCGUUGUCCGGAAUUAUUGGGCGUAAAGAGCUCGUAGGCGGCUUGUCACGUCGGAUGUGAAAGCCCGGGGCUUAACUCCGGGUCUGCAUUCGAUACGGGCUAGCUAGAGUGUGGUAGGGGAGAUCGGAAUUCCUGGUGUAGCGGUGAAAUGCGCAGAUAUCAGGAGGAACACCGGUGGCGAAGGCGGGUCUCUGGGCAGUAACUGACGCUGAGGAGCGAAAGCGUGGGGAGCGAACAGG